rnacentral:other from 1 species
GCAACCCUGCGAGAUGCGUAAAGCCCUUCAAGUUUGAGCCAACACCAAACAGAGGGGAGCCCGGCUCCGCCGAUAGCGCGAGACUUCGCCCUGAGGGGUUUCGACCCCUCCAUGUGAGGAUACGCAAAGUUGGCGGGAGGGUGCCCACUUUCCAAGCGGGUUCAUAACCCCAGGGGCCAACGGUCAUCGCGGGGUCCUC